GAUGAACGCUGGCGGCGUGCCUCAAACAUGCAAGUCGAGCGGGGCUAUGUAAUAUCGCAAGGUAGAACAUAGCCUAGCGGCGAACGGGUGAGUAACACGUGGGUAACCUGCCUGGAAGACAGGGAUAACGAUUCGAAAGGGUCGCUAAUACCUGAUAAUAUCCUUUCAUCGCAUGGUGAUAGGAAGAAAGGGGAAACCCGCUUUCAGAUGGGCCCGCGUCCCAUCAGCUAGUUGGUAAGGUAAAGGCUUACCAAGGCGACGACGGGUAGCCGGUCUGAGAGGAUGUACGGCCACACUGGGACUGAGACACGGCCCAGACUCCGUACGGGGGGCAGCAGUAGGGAAUUUUCGGCAAUGGGCGAAAGCCUGACCGAGCGACGCCGCGUGAGGGACGAAGGCCUUCGGGUUGUAAACCUCUGUCUGGGGGGAUGAGAACGGACGGUACCCCCGGAGGAAGCCCCGGCUAACUACGUGCCAGCAGCCGCGGUAAUGAGUAGUCA
rnacentral:rRNA from 1 species